GCAUUUGUGAUGGAGAGGGAGGGGCAUUUCGAGUUAAGGUCCCUAGAUCUGUCGAUCUCGUCGUCUCUUCUUUCUCCUUUGUGAACUCCCUCUUUCUUCUCCGCUGGUGUAAGGCGUGGUCUCUUAUCCGGUUUAGUCUCCUCUCUGCUUCUCGCAGUCCAGACUCCUCUCAACUCCUCUGCAGUCGUGGCUUCUCUCCAUUCAUCUGCAAUUAACAUAGGAGCAGAUGUUCGGAGGAUCUCGUCCUCGACGGCGAAUGAUAACCAGUGACAUUUAGAUGCAGUUCCAUGGAAGACGAGGUUGAAUCGCUUAGGCUUGAAAGUGUGAAGACUGUAUGUUGAGAAACCGGAAGGAUGGCAUCGGAUCUUACAAAUCUGUUCCCUUUCUCUGUUAACGAAGGUGGUGCUCUAGGCGUCAAAAGUGGUGGUUCCGGCGUCGACAAUGGUGGCCGAGCGCAAUGGAGGAGACUGAAGAAGCUUUACUGUGGUGGUCUCGGCGUCAAAAAAGGAGUGUGGUGGAGAUUGAAGAAGAACGUGGUUUAGCUAUAUUAGGUUUAGUUAGAGUUAGUUAAUAAACCGGGGUUAUAUGUAAACCCGUUUUCAUAGUAAACCGAUAUCAUUUGUAAACCAAAAUUUUAAUUAUUAAUAAAUUUAUUCUC